GUUGUUUUGGAAUCCAACUUCACCCAAAUUCUCUGUUCCAGUAUCUGUUAUGAAGGAAAUUCUAUUUCCAGAAUAUGAGAGUUUUCAAGCCAGCAAAAUUUUAAUUGAAAAAUGUUCAUCAGGAAGCAAGGAAAGUGUCAUUUUACAUCAGCAUACCAGAAGUCCUAGGUUUCUUUUCCUAAGGAAAUCUGCAUCAUUUCAAAAUAUCCAAAAAUGUUUCAGCACACCAUCUCUACAAUUAAAGGUAUGAUAAUUUUUAGUUUUUAUUCAAAAAAUGUGUAUAUUUCAAGUAAUAAUCACUAUUGGUGCUUU
rnacentral:lncRNA from 1 species